UACGUAGGGUGCGAGCGUUGUCCGGAAUUAUUGGGCGUAAAGAGCUUGUAGGCGGUUUGUCGCGUCUGCCGUGAAAAAUUCGAGGCUCAACCUCGAACUUGCGGUGGGUACGGGCAGACUAAAGUGUGGUAGGGGAGACUGGAAUUCCUGGUGUAGCGGUGAAAUGCGCAGAUAUCAGGAGGAACACCGAUGGCGAAGGCAGGUCUCUGGGCCACUACUGACGUGAGAAGCGAAAAGCAUGGGGGAGCGAACAGG
rnacentral:rRNA from 1 species